UUCAGUUGACUCAUCGACCAAUAUGCUG
rnacentral:sRNA from 1 species